GGUAUUGCCCCAUAUUCCUAGAGGACAAGCCCAAGCUUGCAACUCAAAUUUAUGAGUUACAAUUUCCAACUCAUCACCAUUGAUUCAAGAACAAAGGAAAAAAACUAAUACAAAGUGCAUUCUUCAUGAUGCCAUAAUUAAUGCUGUUAAAUAAAUAUAUUACUUAAUUUCAGAGAUCUGCAGAUUUCAGCUAACUGCAUUUGAGACAAAAGAUACCACUCAUCAGAUAAAAUUCUCAACUACUAAAGCCUGCGGAAGACAUUUUCCAGGAAAAUAUUUUCCUUGUUUCCCAUUGUUUGAAGCAGCUAUAAUACAUUAUAUGCAGCUAUUUUUGUGGCCAAUUGAAGGGCAAGCAUCAAAAAGGAUUAUAGAAAAACAUAAAAUUCAGAUUCUGACCCGUUAAAUUUUCAGCCGCACCACCAAACCUGGUUCCAUCCUUUCUAGAUCAAUAUGAAUAACAGUAAGUUCAAGAACAUGGUAACAGUUUUGAAAUAUCAAUCCAAAUUGACAAUGAAAACUUCGCUGUCAGAGGAAGUAUCAUCGUCCCUAAAAGCAGAAAUCAUCUGUUGCUGGAAUGCUAUGAAUGAAAAUCUGGAAUGUAUCCAAUGAGUUUCUUGAUCUAUCUAUACCUUCAAGAUAUUGGAUGCCGCCUCCUUUUGGGUCGGCUUCGGUCUUCCUCAUAGUCCAUCACUCCACCAGGCUCAGAGUAGAUCUCCUCGUGCCCUCUGAAGUCAAUGUCGGCCUGCUUACAGUGUGUAACUUCUGCCACAACGUAAGUAAGACACAUCGACCGACAUAUCCCAGAAACUGAAUAUAAAGUCUAUUAUCUACUAACAUUAUGGAUAUCAUAAGAUCCAAACUGCCCAACUCAAGAAUAUCAUCCAUCAAAAGCAAGCAAACCUAUAUUAGUUCAAUGUAGUUUUGCAUUGGUCCAUUGGCAUCUUUUCAAGGAAAAUUUUGAAACAAGCAAGCAGUGAUAAUCUAAUAAAUCAUAAAUAAAGACAAUUAAAAAUGAGAUGCCGUUUAAUUCUUCUAGCCAAACUUGCCAGCAUGCAGAUUUACCACAUCCCCAAGAAAGAGAGAGAGGGAGAGAGAAAGGGAGAGAAGAGGGGUGGAGGGGUAGGGGGAGGGGUCUCUCUCUCUCUCUCUGCCUGUCACAAGCCCUGCCCCCAACACUCAUCUCCCCACACCAAAGAAAAAAUAUGUGCAUGGAAUAACCCACUAAAUUAAUUUGUUGUCAAAUAAAUUGAACUAGAAAUAUAAAACUGGAAUCAACUGACCUUGAGGGAGAGGGACUUCUUUA
rnacentral:misc_RNA from 1 species